GAUGAACGCUGGCGGCGUGCCUAAUACAUGCAAGUCGAACGCUACUUCUUUAUCUCCCUUUGCUUGCUCUCUCCGAUACAGAGUUGAGUGGCGAACGGGUGAUUAAUACUUGCGCAACCUGCCCAUAAGAAGGGGUUAACACUUCCGCACAGGUGCUAAUACCGCAUAACCAUUGUUACCGCAUGGUAACUAUGUCACUACUGGCUAUACUACCGCUUUUGUAUGUGCCCGCGGCGAAUUCGCUUGUUGGUGGGGUAAAGGCUUACCAAGGCAAGGAUGGGUAGCCGAAUUGAGGGGUUGAUGGGCAACAUGGGGACGGAGACACGGCCAAAACUCCUACGGGAGGAAGCAGUAGGGAAUCUUCGAAAAUGGGCGAAAGCCUGAUGGAGCAAGGCCGGGGGGGUGAAGAAGGUCUUCGGAUCGUAAAACCCUGUUGUUAGAGAGGAAAGGGGGUGAGAGGAACUGUUCACGUUGUGACGGUAUCUAACCAGAAAGCCACGGCUAACUACGUG
rnacentral:rRNA from 1 species